rnacentral:lncRNA from 1 species
AAAGCCCCGCCCCCCGCGCGUUGCCGGGAGACGGCGCCCAACCUUCCUCUGCAGCGCCCCUACCGACCCGCGCUCCGCAGCUCCUGAGGGCUUUCGAGCCCAGAUGGUCAUCUGAGACGAGAGGUGGCGGCGAAGGAGAGUCUCGCCUGUCACGCUCCCGGAGCAGGGGCUUCAUGAGGUGGCCAUGGAAACAGCCUGGCAGACUCCCAUCUCUCCUGGUGCCAUCUCCGGAGCGGAAAGUGGAGCGCCCCGCUGGCGACCAAGGCCGCACUGAGAGCCCUGGUUUGGUCAACAGUUGGGCUCCAAGGAGCCCUGGUAUUCCUUGAACAUGCAUACCUUUCCCAGCGUGAGGGACAUGGACCGUGCCGUGCGAGGGACCCCAUCUUCUGCAGCAGGAGGGAGCAGAGAAGAGAACACAGCCACCCUCAUCAGCCAGAGUUCAAACCCUGACAGUGCCCAUGGAGAGAUCUGGUCCAAGGCACCAACCUCUUCCUGCUGGACUGAGAAAGAGCCUCCUACUGUGUCUCUCUUUACCUCAGCUUUUGCACACCUCCAAUAUAUUGUCCACUGAAGUCAGAAUAAUCUAAAAAUAAAGGCUGAUUACCUCAUGUGGUAUAAACUUAAAAAAAAAAA